GACAGAGGCCCCAAGCGUUAGGCGGAAUCACUGGGCUUAAAGCGUGUGUAGGCGGACGCCUAAGUGUCUUGUGAAAUCCCACGGCUCACCCGUGGAACUGCUGGGCAUACUGGCCGUCUUGGGCCAACUAGGGGCAGCCGGAACAAGCGGUGGAGCGGUGAAAUGCGUAGAUAUCGCUUGGAACGCCGAAGGUGAAAACAGGCUGCUGGGGUUGCGCCGACGCUGAGACACGAAAGCCAGGGGAGCAAACGGG
rnacentral:rRNA from 1 species